rnacentral:tRNA from 1 species
CAGACCGUGGCUUAAUAGCAAAGCAUCUCCCUUACACUGAGAAGAAGCCCGUGCAAAUCGUGCCGUUCUGA